AUUGAACGCUGGCGGAAUGCUUUACACAUGCAAGUCGAACGGCAGCACGGGUGCUUGCACCUGGUGGCGAGUGGCGAACGGGUGAGUAAUGCACCGGAACGUAUCCAAUAAUGGGGGAUAACGCACCGAAAGGUGUGCUAAUACCGCAUACGCCCUGAGGGGGAAAGCGGGGGAUCGUAAGACCUCGCGUUAAUGGAGCGGCCGAUGCCGGAUUAGCUAGUUGGUGAGGUAAAGGCUCACCAAGGCGACGAUCCGUAGCUGGUCUGAGAGGACGACCAGCCACACUGGAACUGAGACACGGUCCAGACUCCUACGGGAGGCAGCAGUGGGGAAUUUUGGACAAUGGGCGCAAGCCUGAUCCAGCCAUUCCGCGUGAGUGAAGAAGGCCUUC
rnacentral:rRNA from 1 species